AUUGACAACACCAAACAAAGACUUUGCUGCAUCAUCUCUUUGAUAUCAUUAUCCCAUUUUCUUCACAUUCUCAAUACCCAAUCUGACAAAAACACACACAUAUAUUCAUAUAUUCGGCUCUUCGAUAAUCGCCGGAAUUCAAACUCCGGGAUCUCUCCGUCAGAAUGUGUCCGAUGAGGUUCAUCUUGGUUUUUUUCUCCGCUAUAUUGGCCGGUUAUAUGGCGUGGAGGACCGUCCGAUCUACCCCCGAUUCCGAUAAAGAAGAUACCAAAGUUGCCAAAGUUCCGCGGAAUAAUUCCAGUUUCACCAAGAUGAUGCAAAAUGGGUUCUGGGUAUUCGUUGACAUGGCAAGUGGAAGAUAUUUGUGGAAGAAUCUGAGAGAGAUGAAGAAAGAUGAUAAAGUUGUUGCUUCUUAGGAGGAAACUGGAAUAUUAAUCAGAAAUUGAUAGUGGAGAACAUGGUCUUUAUGUUGUCUAUGUAUAAUGCUAUUAUAGUUCAACCUCCUCUUAAGUUGUGUGUAUCAACUUUAUUGUUGUAUGAAUAUGAUGAUUUUUAUGUGUAUUAGGCAUUGAGA